rnacentral:lncRNA from 1 species
UGAGAAUUGAUGAUGAAUUUUGGAAUUGAAGGUGUUGGUGUUCUUGAGGGUUUUGAGAGAAUGUGGAAGUUUCAGAUCUGGUUCUUGAAGAUUGUGAAUUCUGUUAUGAUUAGAUGAUGAUUAUGAAUAUAUACUUCAACUUAAUCCACACUUAAUCACCUUAAUUAACCAAACCAAAUGUAAUUAGCAUAAUAUGGUUUAACUUAAGCAAGGGCAAAAUGGCCUUUUCACUCAAGCCCUGUGACAGCUCAUUGACAGCUCAUACAUUCUCAAUUGAUAUUUGGAGUGUGUUGGCUCAAAUGAGAUUUUCACUCUUGUGCAUGAAGAUGGUGCAUGAAGUAAU